UAGUUUGUUAGAGUUAAGUUAUCAUACAUGGAUAACUGUGGUAAUUCUAGAGCUAAUACAUGCACUUAUGCUUGGCAUCUGUAUCUUUAUUGAUAUAGGUAAAGAGCGCACUUAUUAGAUUAAAACCAAUAAGAUUAUUCAUUUAGUCUUUUCAAUUGGUGAAUCGGAAUAAUAUAGCCAAUCGUACGGUCUUUGUACUGACGAUUUAUCUUACAAGAGUCUGCUCUAUCAACUUUCGAUGGUAGGUCAUACGCCUACCAUGGUGUUAACGGGUAACGGAGAAUAAGGGUUCGACUCCGGAGAGGGAGCCUGAGAAAUAGCUACCACAUCCAAGGAAGGCAGCAGGCGCGCAAAUUACCCAAUUCCAGAACGGAGAGGUAGUGACAAUAAAUAAGGAGACAGUCCUCUUCGAGGUCUGUUAUCGGAAUGGGUACAAUUUAAAGCGUUUAACGAGUAUCAAUUGGAGGGCAAGUCUGGUGCCAGCAGCCGCGGUAAUUCCAGCUCCAAUAGCGUAUAUUAAAGUUGUUGAGGUUAAAACGCUCGUAGUUGAAGUUUAGUAUCAAAACACCGGUCCCCCGAAAGGGCGGUUUUACUGGUUUUGUUUUGAUCAUAUGAAUAUAUUUAAAGUUGUAUUUUUGGUGCGCUCUUCAUUGAGUGUCACUAAGCGAUUUGAACGUUUACUUUGAAAAAAUUACAGUGCUUAAAGCAGGCUAAAUUUAUUUAAAUGCCUGAAUAAUGUUGCAUGGAAUAAUGAAAUAUGAUUUUGGUUUUACUUUGUUSGUUUUUGAAAUUUGWAAUAAUGAUUMAUAGGAGCUGACGGGGCACAUUCGUAUUCCGGCGCUAGAGGUGAAAUUCUUGGACCGCCGGAAGACGCACUACUGCGAAAGCAUUUGUCAAGAAUGUUUUCAUUAAUCAAGAACGAAAGUUAGAGGUUCGAAGGCGAUCAGAUACCGCCCUAGUUCUACUGUAAACUAUGACAACUUGCGAUCAAUCGGUGUUCUAUUUUUAAACGACCCGAUUGGGAGCAUCCGGGAAACCAAAGUUUUUCGUUUCCUGGGGAAGUAUAGCUGCAAAUCUGAAACUUAAAGGAAUUGACGGAAGGGCACCACCAGGAGUGGAGCCUGCGGCUUAAUUUGACUCAACACGGGAAAACUUACCCGGCCCGGACACUGCUAUGAUUGACAGACUGAGAGCUCUUUCUUGAUUCGGUGGGUGGUGGUGCAUGGCCGUUCUUAGUUGGCGGAGCGAUUUGUCAGGUUAAUUCCGAUAACGAACGAGACUCUGGCCUAUUAAAUAGUGUUUCAUAUUUUUUGUACAUGACCGUCUAAAAAGCGGCGUGUUAACAUUAUAAAUAUGUUUUAAAUUACUUCUUAGAGGGACAAGCGGCGUUUAGCCGUAUGAAAUAGAGCAAUAACAGGUCUGUGAUGCCCUUAGAUGUCCGGGGCUGCACGCGCGCUACAAUGAAAAAAGCAACGUGCGUAUUUAUUUAUCUCCUGGUCCUGAAGGAUUGGGUAACCCAAGUGAAAUUUUUUCGUGCUUGGGAUAAGAAAUUGCAAUUAUUUUCUUUGAACGAGGAAUUCCCAGUAAGUGCGAGUCAUAAGCUCGCGUUGAUUACGUCCCUGCCCUUUGUACACACCGCCCGUCGCUACUACCGAUUGAAUGGUUUAAUGAGGUUUUAGGACCGAUGUAGACGUGCUUGAAUACUUGUAUUCAGUGUGUUUGCGUUGGAAAUUUAAUCAAAUUAAACUAUUUAGAGGAAGU
rnacentral:rRNA from 1 species